UUAGUACUCCCUCCGUCUCAAAAUUCUUGUCUUAAAUUUGUUUAGAUAUGAAUGUNNNNNGUCACGUUUUAGUAUUUAGAUACAUCUAUUUCUAAACAAACCUAAGACAAUAAUUUUAGGACGGAGGGAGUAUAAA
rnacentral:pre_miRNA from 1 species